GAGUUUGAUCGUGGCUCAGAUUGAACGCUGGCGGCAGGCCUAACACAUGCAAGUCGAGCGGUAGAGAGAAGCUUGCUUCUCUUGAGAGCGGCGGACGGGUGAGUAAUGCCUAGGAAUCUGCCUGGUAGUGGGGGAUAACGCUCGGAAACGGACGCUAAUACCGCAUACGUCCUACGGGAGAAAGCAGGGGACCUUCGGGCCUUGCGCUAUCAGAUGAGCCUAGGUCGGAUUAGUUAGUUGGUGAGGUAAUGGCUCACCAAGGCGACGAUCCGUAACUGGUCUGAGAGGAUGAUCAGUCACACUGGAACUGAGACACGGUCCAGACUCCUACGGGAGGCAGCAGUGGGGAAUAUUGGACAAUGGGCGAAAGCCUGAUCCAGCCAUGCCGCGUGUGUGAAGAAGGUCUUCGGAUUGUAAAGCACUUUAAGUUGGGAGGAAGGGCAGUAAAUUAAUACUUUGCUGUUUUGACGUUACCGACAGAAUAAGCACCGGCUAACUCUGUGCCAGCAGACCG
rnacentral:rRNA from 1 species